rnacentral:lncRNA from 1 species
CAUUGGUUGCUAAGCCUAAAAAGAAAUAUUAUUUAGAGAAGAGGUUUUCCUUCGAGGGCACCCCUCAAUCUCUAUGAUAAUUUCUUGUCUCCUCCAGGGGCCAGAGGGGUCUCCUUAUAUAGUCCUCCCCUUCUAUGUGUUUUUGGGUCGGUAGGCGAUGUGGUACUACGUUAUUCUGGAUCCAAUAGGUCUGUGGAGAUCUCCCGAGAGAAAGAGUCCUGAUUGGGCUCGGCAGGUGGGCGGGCGCCCAGGUCCUGGCCCCGUUUCGCCUCCGCUUCGGUCUCGUGGCUUCUGGAGUCUUCUAGAUGGUAGAAAAUUGCGCGGUGCGUUGAUAUCUCUAUGUAAUCCUGACAUGUGGGCCUUUCUUCCUUAUUUCCUGAUAACCCUCUGCAGAAAUAGACAAACACCAAAACUCGUGGAAUUCUGUCAGAUAAAACCCUAAGUCUAGAUGUUGAUUUCAUUUGGAUCCUUUUCUUUGUUUAUUUGAUAAUUAAAUUUGAUACUUAAGGACCGUCAACAAACUCCCCCAAGCUUACCUCUUACUCGUCCCUGAGCAAGGAUGAACUCAAGAGUUUCUGCAGUGGUUUCAUUUCUUAAAGGUACACACGCAUUCAAGCAAGAUCUCAUCUCUGAGUUAGAAUAAACUGUUAAGACUUAAAACUUACUCAUUUUACCUUUCACCAUGGGGCUUGUAACCAUCACUUGUGUCUUGAGCAGUUAAAAGAUAGAACGGUCAAGUCAAGCGCCAUGUCUCUUGUUCUUUGAUCAGCUAUAGCUCUGCGGUUUUUGCAAAUUUUCAAAUAAAACUCAGAGAUUCCUUAUAUGAUUCUCUCAAAUCUCUCUUUUGUGGUAUUUCUGGAUCCUUACCAAGGCAGUGAUAAUAUACGCCUUCUCUCAAAGUAUGUAGUAUUUGUGGUAUGAGGCAUAGUGAUAUUGCCUUCUCUCUCACCCUACUCUAAUAAGGUUUUGAUAUCUGGAGCUCAUAGGUGGGAGACAGCUAAUACAUACCUACAAGACAUUUAUUGCAUAGUCAAACCAUGGAUCCAGAGAAACAAGUCAAUAAGUCAAAUCAAGAUGUGCAUGUGUGACGAGUGAAUGGUGUAUGGUGAUGAUGGUGAUAACAAUGGUGAAAGUCUAAUUCUACUUUUGCUCUUUUAAGGGGAUACAUACCUUUCUUGCACUUGAAGCUUUUUGAGGAGAAUGAGAUGCUCAUAUUUUCUUUUUCUUUUCUCUCAGGUGGGUAUCUUGUACCCCUAAUUCUACUGUCGGACACUUGUCCAUUUUUACCUCUCGUCUCACUUUUUUUUCUUUUUCUUCGAGGUUCCGGGCACUUGCCCCUUUUUAUUUCCUCGUUUUUUUCUUCUUCUUUUUUUUACUAGAGCACUCAUCUCCUGAAAUAAUAUAGCAAGUGGUAGUAACCAAGAUAACUUGAGCAUUUAUUUCACAGGGAAUAACAGGGAUAGGAAAAUGUUUUUGGCUAUUCUCUCCCGGAUUAGGAGUAGAAUAAUUUUGGGUGAAUCUGGAGAUGGAAAUGAGUGGAUGUAUGUGGAUGCGUACUUCCAGAAUAGAAGUAGCAUGUAUGAGUGAACGUGCAAGUGAAUCUUGAUUUUAACCACAUGACAAGCUCCUAAGGGUCUACACAGCUUGACCACACUCAAUGCUCAUAAGCAGUAAAAAGUAAAUAUAUGGCUCAAAGUCUAGCAAGCAUGUAUAUAUGGCUGUGGUAGGAAUUUAAACUCUCAUCAUAUAGGAACUCAUCAUGUGUUAUUUUAAAGAUUUUCAAAGAUAAAAUUCUCCAGAAUUCUAGCGUCUCUAGGAACAGAUAAACAGCAGCUCAACCUUCCCAUAUCAUAUCCAUUAACAACUUAGACUUUAGAUCAAGUACUCUUCCCACAAGUUCAGGUUUAGAGCAGGUAUAAAUUAUAACAGUUAUGCCUAAACUUGAGAGAGAUUUCAAUUUUAAGAACUAGUCAUGGCAGAGCAACUAUUCAUCAUUUCCAUGUGAGAGCUUAUCAUGAGGGUUGAUAGCAAACUUUAUUUAUUUGUUUAUUUAGCAAACUAAGCAAAGAUAUAUAUAUAUAUAUAUAUAAAAGCACAAAAUCUUUAUUUGGGUUUUCAUGAUUAUGCAUCUCUUAUUAUUUGAGUAAAGUAUAAACGCGAGUAGAAACGCUUAGCUGGAUAAAUGGGGGUGCUCUCCCCCAAGCUGGAUUUUGACGUAAUUUCUUCUGAUGUAGCUAGCAGGUGGUGGAGGUGUAUUUGAAAGUCGGCAGCACCCUGACAGCGAUUAGGAUGUCCUCCGUCUGCUAGUCUUCUUUGAUCCUUGAAUUCUGUGGAGCUCAAAUAGACAACAAAGCUUUGUGGAACUAGUUAAGUGUUAGCAUAAAUAUCUAGCCUUUAUCAUGUUGAGCUUCCUUAAUAAAUGUUAUACUCUUUGGUAGGAUCAUAAAUUUAUUUUUAUAUUUUCAUUUUUGUAGGACAGGAAUAUAUUUAUUUUAUUUCUAUGCCACCAUAGUGAAUGUACUUAUGGGUUUUAUACCAUGAGCAUACUCACAUGGGGCUUACUAUUUUUAACAUUUUUAUUUUCUUCUCAAGAUGAUAUGAACCUGAUUAACUAAGCAAACUAUUUUAAAUAAUUGAAGGAAAAAGAUAACUACCAAGUUUACCUCUUGGCAAGACGUUCUGUGUUUUUAAGUCCUCCGAACGGGACUCUUUGUGUUUUCAAUCGUCCUGGGAUUCGCUAGGUGGCGUAGUCGGUGGUUCCGGCGGCGCCUCCUCUUCGUGUGUAACUAUCUUCUCUCUCCACACCUGACUCGGUGCUACGGUCUUUUCAGGACAGUUCUGUUCAAGCUGUAUGUCUUCAGUCCUUAUCACUUCUCCUUCGUAGUCUACCCAUCCGUCCUUGAUGAUUUGCCUCCUCUGGUUGCGGUUGCGUUGUCUUCUUCUUAUCCUGACCUGCUUAGAAUCUUCAACUAUAUAGUUAAGGUCAGUAAAAUAGCUACGUACCUUCUCAGAGGGGAAGUAUAUGUGGACUUCUCCGGUUCCAAUGUAGAUGAUUGCUUUGAUAGUGUUGAGGAAUGGUCUUCUAAGGAUAGUGGGUGGAUCGUACUCGUCUUCUCCCAUGUCAAUGACCUGAAAAUCAUCUGGAGCUGUAUGUUGGUUGUAGGGGCAUGGUUCCAUGCAGGAGCUGAUAAGUGACUGCGGCCAUUAUGUUGUCGUCAGAUCCGGUGUCGUAGAGUGUCUUCUAAAAAGAGUAUUUGUUCAUUGUGCACUCAAUGCUUGGAACACCAGGGUCGUCCUUCUUGAUCAAGAAAGGUGACUUGAGUCGACGAUCUUGACCUCCUUGAGUUGCAGUGACCAUCUUAGUUGACUCGGUCCACAUUUGCUUGUUCCUGUUCCUCCUGUUGGUCCUCUUCCUUGGUUCAUGUCGGGAUUGCUCUGAAGUUUGUGUAGUCUUGUUCUCGAAGGAAAGUCUCCUUCUUCCCCUUGAUGUAGGAACUGAUCUUGGCAGCAUUAGCGUAGAUGACAGCUCUGGUGUUUAGGAAUGGCCUCCCUAAGAUGAUGGGUGCCCUCUCCUCAGUACCAGUCUCUAUCACCACGAAGUUUGCUGGAGCGUACAAGGUACCAACUCAGACAUAGAGGUUCUUCAAUAUUUCCUUUGGGAAACUAAGUGUCUGAUUUCCAUUGUGUUUGUGCUCGUAGAUCCAGGUCCUUCACUUGGUGGAGUCUGGGAGUUGUAAAACUCCUCCAUGUUUUGCUUGAAGUGUACCUGUUCAUAGAGACAAGGCAGAGAUCAAGUGCAUGGGCCCUAUUGGUGGAAAACACCAACAGAACCAAAAGUGUAUUUGUUCUUCUCUAACCUUAAGCAUAGUGAGCAAGACAAAGUUGAUAGAUAAUAAGAUCAUGAGUGUAGUAUUUAAAACAUUUGUUAGAUCAGAUGGCUCAACCUAAUGGAAAGAUAAUCUAUCUAUAUUUAUUUUUUGUUUAUAUCUUCCAAAGAUUGAAUGUGCAGCAUUUUAGCUUAUAUGAUUAGGAGUGUGGGAUCACGAAGGUAGUACUAAGAACAAAGAUUAAAGGACUAAACAUGUUGAAUUAAUUGAGUUGGUUAAUCUGGAGUUAUAAAUCAUACAUAUUUGUCUCUUUAUUUAUGUGAAUGCUAGAACCAAGGAGAAGCUUAUGAAAGUGAUAGUCGCGUACCUUAAGAUGUUACUUGAAGAUUGAUGGUAUAGUAUCACCUUGUGGAAGCUUUCCUUUCUUAGCGGUUGUGCAUCGUGUUUGUGGCACUCUUCAUGGAUCAUCACUUUAUGAUGAAUAAGCUAUGUCUUCCUUGUGCAAGUCGUUAAAUUUCAUGUGUCUCCUUUGUCUCCAAUGAGCUUGUAGCUCAGGACUUCCUAGGUUAAUAUUGAAAGUUUUCCUACAGGGGUUAGUCCGACAAAAUAUACCAAUGCCUACUCAAGCAGUUUUUAGUUCAGUAACCAAACUAGACUCCAUGUCUAAUCAGAUUAAGGAAGGCUAUUUAACCUAAGCACCAUGCUUAAUUUAAAUGCCAAUGGAAGUAUGUCGAGUACUUCCAAACCAACACUUGCUAGUAAAUAGAUAAAGGUAGCAUGACAGCAUUUAUAGAGAUCUACUUAAGUGGAGAUGAAGUAGUGUGAUUAGUACUUAACAAAUUGAGCAUCUCUCAAAGGUAGGGACAACCAACAUAGCAACAUGGCUAAGGAUGUUUUUAUGUAAAGUACUCCCCCAAGCUUGAAUUUUGCGAAAUUCAAGUUUGGAUGAACUUAAUUCAAUGUUGCAUGAUGAUUGGUUGGACAUACCUUGUGCUUGUCAUUCAUCCGAUCUUCUUGCUCCAAUCCUAGAAAGGUUAGUGGCAAGAAUACCCGAAGGAAUAUUUCUACAAUUAUCUUUAUAUGCUCAAUACACAAGGCAAUGUUGCAAAUAAUCAGAAGUGCUUGUUUUAGGACACUAAGCUUGUCCUCGGGAAACCAUCAAUUGACUCAACGAGAUCUGCAAUAUUUAUUAUAGACAUAUGCAUCGACAACCGCUCUUUUAAAGUUUUUAUAAAUAGAAAAGAAGAGAGGUUUGGAGAUCUCAAAUGUGGUAAUGUUGGAGAGACCAAUUGAUUGGGGAGAUGUUUUAUAUGAGCAAGGACUUGGUAAGGUAUUUAUGAAAUAACUUCCAUGCUCACUGUUGUUUCUCUCAUUCUCAAACUCCAAGGAUGAUUCUUCAUGAAUGCUUAAAAUUCCUCUAGGAUUGUCUCUCAGGUUUGUUUUAUCUAUCCAUUCAAUGGUGAUAGCACAUGGAUUUUUAAUGCCCUCUAGCCAUUGAUGUUGCUCUUCUCGAUCCUCCUUCUUAUUCAUGGGAUGUCUAGAGAGAUUCAUAGGAUUAUCGGGAGGUUCAAGAGAAAAAGCAUAGUAGAAAUUAUUAAGCUCAAGGAUGGGUUGGAUAGCCGAAUCAUGGGAUUGGAAUGUUUGGAAAUCGGCUAUUGAAACUUCCUUUCCUCGUCUGGGAGAUUAUUCUAUGAAGACUAGUACAAGAAGGAUGUCCACGAAUGAAGACAUACCUUCCUUUACUAAUAGAUAAAGAAAGAAGGACUCUACCAAAGGUUAUAUGAUUAAGACCAAUGUCAAAAUAUUUAGGAAAAACAUGGUCUUGUAGGGCUAGGUCUAAACCAGAAUUUAUAGAAAGAUUAACAGAUUCCCUAGGUGUAGCUAAAAGUGCAUUAUCUUCUUGAUUAAAAGAUAGGACCUCGGCUAUAGAAAAGGGUUGGUUUUGACCUAUUGCAAUCAACUCCGGACCAGAUCAUAAUUAGGGGCAGGACGUGUUGACUCCCAUGGUCUAUGGCUGGUCUCCGAAGGUGCAAAGAAUUUAAUAAUAGGUAUGGAAUUUGAGUUAUCCAUAAAGAUAAAAAUAAAAAGAUAAAAGAAUAAAAGUAUAAAAGUAUAAUACAAGAUAAUAGCAAGACUCAAAGUUAUCUCAGCAAACCGUCUUUCUCCCCGGCAACGGCGCCAGAAAUGCUUGUUGAUAUUUGGUAACGCAAUUAGAAAAUGAUCCGCAAGCGCACGGAUAUCGGUGAGCAUUUCACCCGGGAGGUUAUCUAGAGUUAUCGUAUUUAUAUUUUUACCACUGGGAGAAAGGGUGCAUCUGACUAACCAAAUCUAUUGCUACUAUCCCUUUAGGCUACCAAGAAUGUGUCUCGAUGUGAGUGAUGUAUAGAGAAGACUGCAACCGUAGUCUCGUUCUAACCUUGGUAAGGAUGAUCUACUGUUCUAUUGGGGAAGCUUACGGAAUCUAGACACCACAAAGGAUGUUCGACCCGCACCUAUAAACCCUACCCGUCCUGCUAACAAGAUAUGGGAUACAAAGGUAACUCGGAAAUGUCACGUUCCUCGCUACUACCACGGUCCAGCUAGUCAGGGGAUAUCUAUGAGUACCCUAGCCUAAACACCACAUUUACGCUAGCAAGUGAUUACUCUAACACUCAACCGGAAGAGGAUUAAAGUAAACUCAUAAACCAAAGAACAAUAAAACAAGAACUUACUAGAAUUAGAAGUCGAAUUACUGAAGAAUCUUAGAAGCAAGCCUCGGGUUAGGAGACUUCCCGCAGGUACAACUCGGAGUAGACACCGACAGGCCGGCCUUCCUCCGAUCCACACCUCCACUCUAUCUCUCUCAAUCUAGUAGAAACUAGAAGAUCUAUUUCUACCUUACAUUGGUUGCUAAGCCUAAAAAGAAAUAUUAUUUAGAGAAGAGGUUUUCCUUCGAGGGCACCCCGCAAUCUCUAUGAUAAUUUCUUGUCUCCUCCAGGGGCCAGGGGGGUCUCCUUAUAUAGUCCUCCCCUUCUAUGCGUUUUUGGGUCGGUAGGCGAUGUGGUACUACGUUAUUCUGGAUCCAAUAGGUCGGUGGAGAUCUCCCGAGAGAAAGAGUCCUGAUUGGGCUCGGCAGGUGGGCGGGCGCCCAGGUCCUGGCCCCGUUUCGCCUCCGCUUCGGUCUCGUAGCUUUUGGAGUCUUCUAGAUGGUAGAAAAUUGCGCGGUGCGUUGAUAUCUCUAUGUAAUCCUGACAUGUGGGCCUUUCUUCCUUAUUUCCUGAUAACCCUCUGCAGAAAUAGACAAACACCAAAACUCGUGGAAUUCUGUCAGAUAAAACCCUAAGUCUAGAUGUUGAUUUCAUUUGGAUCCUUUUCUUUGUUUAUUUGAUAAUUAAAUUUGAUACUUAAGGACCGUCAACAAACUCCCCCAAGCUUACCUCUUACUCGUCCCUGAGCAAGGAUGAACUCAAGAGUUUCUGCAGUGGUUUCAUUUCUUAAAGGUACACACGCAUUCAAGCAAGAUCUCAUCUCUGAGUUAGAAUAAACUAUUAAGACUUAAAACUUACUCAUUUUACCUUUCACCAUGGGGCUUGUAACCAUCACUUGUGUCUUGAGCAGUUAAAAGAUAGAACGGUCAAGUCAAGCGCCAUGUCUCUUGUUCUUUGAUCAGUUAUAGCUCUCGGGUUUUUGCAAAUUUUCAAAUAAAACUCAGAGAUUCCUUAUAUGAUUCUCUCAAAUCUCUCUUUUGUGGUAUUUCUGGAUCCUUACCAAGGCAGUGAUAAUAUACGCCUUCUCUCAAAGUAUGUAGUAUUUGUGGUAUGAGGCAUAGUGAUAUUGCCUUCUCUCUCACCCUACUCUAAUAAGGUUUUGAUAUCUGGAGCUCAUAGGUGGGAGACAGCUAAUACAUACCUACAAGACAUUUAUUGCAUAGUCAAACCAUGGAUCCAGAGAAACAAGUCAAUAAGUCAAAUCAAGAUGUGCAUGUGUGGCGAGUGAAUGGUGUAUGGUGAUGAUGGUGAUAACAAUGGUGAAAGUCUAAUUCUACUUUUGCUCUUUUAAGGGGAUACAUACCUUUCUUGCACUUGAAGCUUUUUGAGGAGAAUGAGAUGCUCAUAUUUUCUUUUUCUUUUCUCUCAGGUGGGUAUCUUGUACCCCUAAUUCUACUGUCGGACACUUGUCCAUUUUUACCUCUCGUCUCACUUUUUUUUCUUUUUCUUCGAGGUUCCGGGCACUUGCCCCUUUUUAUUUCCUCGUUUUUUUUCUUCUUCUUUUUUUUACUAGAGCACUCAUCUCCUGAAAUAAUAUAGCAAGUGGUAGUAACCAAGAUAACUUGAGCAUUUAUUUCACAGGGAAUAACAGGGAUAGGAAAAUGUUUUUGGCUAUUCUCUCCCGGAUUAGGAGUAGAAUAAUUUUGGGUGAAUCUGGAGAUGGAAAUGAGUGGAUGUAUGUGGAUGCGUACUUCCAGAAUAGAAGUAGCAUGUAUGAGUGAAAGAGUCCUGAUUGGGCUCGGCAGGUGGGCGGGCGCCCAAGGAAACUGGGCGGGCGGCCACGUCCUGGCCCCGUUUCGCCUCCGCUUCGGUCUCGUGGCUUCUGGAGUCUUCUAGAUGGUAGAAAAUUGCGCGGUGCGUUGAUAUCUCUAUGUAAUCCUGACAUGUGGGCCUUUCUUCCUUAUUUCCUGAUAACCCCCUGCAGAAAUAGACAAACACCAAAACUCGUGGAAUUCUGUCACAUAAAACCCUAAGUCUAGAUGUUGAUUUCAUUUGGAUCCUUUUCUUUGUUUAUUUGAUAAUUAAAUUUGAUACUUAAGGACCGUCAACAAGAAGAUCAUAUUUCAAUUGGUAUUGGUGGAUAAUCUUUCAACCUGUCAUAUCAAGAAAUAUGUCUUCAAUUGGUAUCUCAAAAUGACAACAAGAGCUGGCAAUGGACUUUCCACUGAAAUCAAGCACAAGUUUAUGAUAUCUCCUUCAAGAUGAUGAUCAAGAGAGAUGGGCACAAAUGAAGUCUUUUUGCAUUUUGCCAACCCCAUCAAAGCACCAAAUUCAUAAUAUCAUGAUCAUAGUGGAGAUUAUGAGGUUUAGAACAAAGGUAUAUCGCUCCAUGAACUCUUGUAUUACCUUUAUGUAUCUAGGCCCUUACAUGCUAGUAUGUGCAUGUGAAUGCAAUAUUUGAGCCACACCAUGAGUUUCUUCUUAUGGUGACGAUUAGAGAAUGACUUAGAUAUUUGGUUGAUACCUCUGUGGUGAUAAAGUGAGUUUGUCUCAUGUUAAAACUAUCAUCUAAGUGAGGUAUGAGCUAAAUAUGCUAACUUCUCAAGAAUCUUGACUUAAGGUAUUGCAUACUUGGUUUGGUAGAAAACUUAGGAGAGAAAUCCUAUAUGCUAAACUUUUACCUACCUCUUGCCCUCAUUUGUCUACCAUUAUUUCUUCCUUUCGGUUGAGAGAUCCUUUUUGGCGAUUAAUGCCAAAGGGGGGGAAAUAUUGGGAGAGAGUGUAAGGGAGGAGAGAUUGAUAUGUGGAUUGAAAGGGGUAAAGGAGAGGCAUAUAAGAUUUUUCAAAUUUUUGUGUGGUGUGUGCAAGGAUAGUUUAUGCUCUUGAUAAGGACUUUUUAUGUUAGUGUGAAAUGUUCAUGCCUUGACUGGUGGUUGCCUUUACUUCUGGGCUGUUUUGGCAAGAGCGGCAAUGUCGCCCUCUUGGUGCGAUAGUGCCGCCCUCUGCUGGCCAGCAAACUUUGAGUGCAUGACCUGCCAUGAGCACCACGUUUAUCAUGUUGACACCUUGCACCCCACGGAUGCUAAGAUAUAGAAGACUUCACACACUUCAUCUUGAAUACGUGCAUUUGGCAUUUGAGGCCAAAAUUAGAAAUUCCAUUCUAUGCACAUAUUUAAAGGGAGCUCACUAUGUCAUAGAAUUCAAAAUCUUAAUAUUUAUCAAUCUCUUGUAAGCUUUAAUUGUGUUGUCAUCAAUC